UACGGGGGGGGCAAGCGUUGUUCGGAAUUACUGGGCGUAAAGGGCUCGUAGGCGGCCAACUAAGUCAGACGUGAAAUCCCUCGGCUUAACCGGGGAACUGCGUCUGAUACUGGAUGGCUUGAGUUUGGGAGAGGGAUGCGGAAUUCCGGGUGUAGCGGUGAAAUGCGUAGAUAUCCGGAGGAACACCGGUGGCGAAGGCGGCUUCCUGGACCGACACUGACGCUGAGGCGCGAAAGCUAGGGGAGCAAACGGG
rnacentral:rRNA from 1 species